rnacentral:lncRNA from 1 species
GAAACUUUCUGCUUAUGUAUUAUAUACACAAUGAAGUUUAUGAAACUAAGUUAAUGUUUUCUCUCCUUGGGUUUUCUUUAGGAUAUUAGGAAGCAGAAGCUGAGUUCAGGCACAUGGUUAUUUUAACAGGAGGACAUUUCAUGCUUUUAUAUAUGCUAAUAUAGAUAGAAUCAGUUAGAUAACUGGGGUGAUUUAAACCUGUAGAGAUUUUAAUUUCCAUUUUUUUUAGACAUAGACUUUUAUGUAUAUUGUAUUUUUAUCUUAUUUCGUUACAAAUAGGAUUUAUAUAUACAUGUACAUCCUUUCCAACUACUCGUUCACUUAAGAAUUUAUAGACAGAAAAUGAUAACAAGUGACUCAGUUUGUGACAGAUGGCUUAAUCUUUAGUAAGCACCAGGCCUCAUGAUAAAGUGUGCAGCAGUGUCCUUCUGCUCUGCAGCUGAACAUUUAAACAGUUAAACAUUUGUCUUUAUAAGAAGGACCUUGGUUUUGUUGUCCCUUCACACCAAUGAUCCCAAACUAAGACGUCAUCUGUUUACUGAUCUUAGACUUUGAAGAACAUGGAGACUUUGUCAGAGACUCUGAGAUCUAAUAAACACUGCCAGCAAAGUAGCAAGAUGGAAAAAAAAUCAUCUAUUUAUACACAAAUUAAAAAAUCAGAAACCAGGCAGGAGGGGUGCAUGCCUUUAAUCCCAGCACUCAGGAGGCAGAAGCAGAGGCA